rnacentral:rRNA from 1 species
UCAGGCCUAACACAUGCAAGUCGAGCGGUAACAGGAAGUAGCUUGCUACUUUGCUGACAGCGGCGGACGGGUGAGUAAUGCUUGGGAACUUGCCUUUGGGAGGGGGAUAACCGCUGGAAACGGUGGAUAAUACCGCAUGAUGUUUACGAACCAAAGUGGGGGCUCUUCGGACCUCACGCCCAGAGAUAGGCCCAAGUGAGAUUAGCUAGUUGGUGAGGUAAUGGCUCACCAAGGCGACGAUCUCUAGCUGUUNUGAGAGGAUGAUCAGCCACACUGGGACUGAGACACGGCCCAGACUCCUACGGGAGGCAGCAGUGGGGAAUAUUGGACAAUGGGGGCAACCCUGAUCCAGCCAUGCCGCGUGUGUGAAGAAGGCCUUCGGGUUGUAAAGCACUUUCAGUGGUGAGGAAGGCNUGUUGGUUAAUACCCAACAGGANGACGUCNC